rnacentral:rRNA from 1 species
AGCGAACGCUGGCGGCAGGCCUAACACAUGCAAGUCGAACGAACCUUUCGGGGUUAGUGGCGGACGGGUGAGUAACACGUGGGAACGUGCCUUUAGGUUCGGAAUAACUCAGGGAAACUUGUGCUAAUACCGAAUGUGCCCUUCGGGGGAAAGAUUAAUCGCCUUUAGAGCGGCCCGCGUCUGAUUAGCUAGUUGGUUGAGGUAAUGGCUCAACAAGGCGACGAUCAGUAGCUGGUCUGAGAGGAUGAUCAGCCACAUUGGGACUGAGACACGGCCCAAACUCCUACGGGAGGCAGCAGUGGGGAAUCUUGCGCAAUGGGCGAAAGCCUGACGCAGCCAUGCCGCGUGAAUGAUGAAGGUCUUAGGAUUGUAAAAUUCUUUCACCGGGGACGAUAAUGACGGUACCCGGAGAAGAAGCCCCGGCUAACUUCGUG